CAUUACCGAAGAUUAAGGGGUCUUGAGCUCUUUGCGUGCUCGACCCUGAUCUCAUCCACACACACCUUUGUGCACGAAUGAGGGCGGCGAAUGCCCCCUUAUCAUUAAACACCAAGUAUAUGCAUGUUUAGUAUUACUCUACGGAGUCUUAUACAACUUUCAACAACGGAUCUCUUGGCUUUCGCAUCGAUGAAGAACGCAGCGAACGUGCGAAACGUAAUGUGAAUUGCAGAAUUCAGUGAAUCAUCGAAUCUUUGAACGCAUCUUGCGCUCCUUGGUAUUCCGAGGAGCAUGCCUGUUUGAGAGUCGUGACUAUCUCAAUGCCCAGCAUUGGAUGUGGGUGACGCCGUUGAAAGACGGCCCAUCCUAAAUGGAUGAGCGAUCUGACCCCGAUCRGACACGAUGUGAUAAACMAAAAGCAUKGUUGUGAUCGAGGGAAGCACCGCUUCUAACCGUCGAGAGACAAUUUUGACUUUGACCUCAAAUCAGGUAGGAGUACCCGCUGAACUUAAGCAUAUCAAUA
rnacentral:rRNA from 1 species